AAUCAGUCUGUUACAUUCUAGCAAUGAGUAGCACCAUCACUGGAGGGAAGCAAUUCAGCACAGUAUGUUACCCGUGGUGGAGGCGAAACGGACGGCAC
rnacentral:SRP_RNA from 20 species